AAAACGAUUUCGCAAAUAGGUUCUUAACAAGAUUAAGAAUAAUAGGGAAGUUGGUGUAAAUCCAGCGCGGUCCCGCCACUGUAAUCACAGAGCUGCAUGACAGAUACCCACUGUAACCAAAUGCUUAUGGGAAGGGAGUUGUGCUCGCAAGGAAGUGUAAGCCAGGAGACCUGCCUAUUUGUUUGGUUCAAG
rnacentral:ncRNA from 2 species